UGGGGAAUUUUGGACAAUGGGCGAAAGCCUGAUCCAGCAAUGCCGCGUGUGUGAAGAAGGCCUUCGGGUUGUAAAGCACUUUUGUCCGGAAAGAAAUGGCUCUGGUUAAUACCUGGGGUCGAUGACGGUACCGGAAGAAUAAGGACCGGCUAACUACGUGCCAGCAGCCGCGGUAAUACGAAGGGUCCAAGCGUUAAUCGGAACUACUGGGCGUAAAGCGUGCGCAGGCGGUUGUGCAAGACCGAUGUGAAAUCCCCGUGCUUAACUUGGGAAUUGCAAUGGUGACUGCACGGCUAGAGUGUGUCAGAGGGGGGUAGCAUUCCGCGUGUGACAGUGAAAUGCGUAGAGAUGUGGAGGAAUACCGAUGGCGAAGGCAGCCCCCUGGGAUAACACUGACGCUCAUGCACGAAAGCGUGGGGAGCAAACAGG
rnacentral:rRNA from 1 species